rnacentral:lncRNA from 1 species
UGAAAACUAUAGCAAAGACUGUAAACCUUGUCCAGUAAAUAAUGAGAGCAGACUAAAGACAACUGAUAAGUAAGUAUAUAAUGUAUAUUUCUGAAAAAAAUAUUGUUAAAAUAUUAUUUUAUAAAAGAGGCAAAAGGUACCAAAAGGACAUUUUAAAUUCAUACAUGUCAUAGGUUGAAGAGAAAAGACAACACCAUCGCAAAAAAAAACCCAAACCAUUUUUAAAACAACGGUCUACAUAGAAAAAAAGACCGAGAAAUUAAAACACCACUUAAACUUAGAGGGAUGGCAGGUUGUAACCCUCAUUUGUUGUAUUGGAA